UCCAGCAUGGCAUAGUGGUUUGAGUGUUGGAUUACGACUCUGGAGAUCAGGGUUCAAAUCCUGGCUGAGC